rnacentral:rRNA from 1 species
UACGAAGGACCCGAGCGUGAUCCGGAUUUAUUGGGGUUAAAGGGUGCGUAGGCGGAUUUACAAGUCAGGGGGGAAAUCUCCCAGCUCAACUGGGAAACUGCCAUUGAAACUGUUUAUCUUGAGUACAUUUGAGGCGGGCGGAAUGUGUCAUGUAGAGGUGAAAUUCUUAGAUAUGACACAGAACACCAAUUGCGAAGGCAGCUCGCUAAACUGUAACUGACGCUGAGGCACGAAAGCGUGGGGAUCAAACAGG